rnacentral:misc_RNA from 1 species
AGAGAGAGAGAGAGAGAGAUGUAAAUGUUCACUGAAUUUACAUGUCAAGGUCAGAGGUCAUUAGUGGAUGUCAAGGUUAUUGAAAGAAGCCAUUGCUCAAAAUUGCAUCCAUGAUACUUUUCUGAAAUGGGGUAUUGUGUUUUAUAAACACAUUUAGUUUAUGAAUGAAAUUAGCUGUAAUGUAUUAAUCAAUACAGUCCGACUCAGUGUUAGAUAUUUUAUUAGUAUUUGUGAAGUAUUUACCCACAAUAUUAAUUUAUGCAUGAUGUGAUUUUGUUGAUGCAUGUAUUAAAAUUUUGAAGAC